rnacentral:rRNA from 1 species
UACGUAGGGGGCGAGCGUUGUCCGGAUUUAUUGGGCGUAAAGCGCGCGUAGGCGGUUCGUUAAGUCGGGUGUGAAAACCCGGGGCUCAACCCCGGGCCUGCAUCCGAUACUGGCGGACUCGAGGCAGACAGGGGAGAGUGGAAUUCCCGGUGUAGCGGUGAAAUGCGCAGAUAUCGGGAGGAACACCGGUGGCGAAGGCGGCUCUCUGGGUCUGUCCUGACGCUCAGGCGCGAAAGCUAGGGGAGCAAACAGG